rnacentral:rRNA from 1 species
GUAGUCCACGCCGUAAACGAUGGAUGCUAGCCGUUGGGGGGUUUACCCUUCGGUGGGGCACCUAACGCAUUAAGCAUCCCCCCUGGGGAGAACGGUCGCAAGAUGAUAACUCUCAGGAGUUGACGGGGGCCCCCACAAGCGGGGGAGAAUGUGGGUCAAUUCUAAGCACCGCGCAGAACCUUUCCCGUCUUUGACAUCCCGGCCGCGGGUACCAAAAAUGGAGGCCUUCCUUUCGGCUGGACCGGAGACGGGGGCUGUAUGGUUGUCGUCAGCUCGGGUCGGGAGAUGUUGGGUUAAGUCCCGCAACGAGCGCAACCCUCGCCCUUAGUUGCCAUCGUUGAGUUGGGCACUCUAAGGGGACUGCCGGCGAUAAGCCGGAGGAAGGUGGGGAUGACGUCAAGUCCUCAUGGCCCUUACGGGCUGGGCUACACACGUGCUACAAUGGCGGUGACAGAGGGACGCAAAGGAGCAAUCCUUCGCAAAUCUCCAAAAGCCGUCUCAGUUCGGAUUGUGCUCUGCAACUCGAGCACAUGAAGUUGGAAUCGCUAGUAAUCGCAGAUCAGCACGCUGCGGUGAAUA